GAUACGGGUUGUGAGAGCAAUAACCCGGAGAUGAUAUCUGAGACACGAUAUCAGGCCCUACGGGGCGCAGCAGGCGCGAAAACUUCGCACUGCGCGAAAGCGCGACGAGGGAAUCCCAAGUGUAUGCACGUAAGUGUAUACUGUUUUUCUGUCUAAAAAGCAGAGAGAGUAAGAGCUGGGUAAGACGGGUGCCAGCCGCCGCGGUAAUACCUGCAGCUCGAGUGGUGAUCGUUAUUAUUGGGCCUAAAACGUCCGUAGCUGGUCUUGUAAAUGCCUGGGUAAAUCGUAUGGCUUAACCAUACGAAUCCCGGGUAGACUGUUAGACUUGAGACCGGGAGAAGCUAGAGGUACUCCUGGGGUAGAGGUGAAAUUCUGUAAUCCUAGGGGGACCACCAGUGGCGAAGGCGUCUAGCUAGAACGGGUCUGACGGUGAGGGACGAAGCCCUGGGGCGCAAACGGGAUUAGAUACCCCGGUAGUCCAGGGUGUAAACGCUGCUUGCUUGAUGUUAGUCGAGCUCCGAGCUCGAUUAGUGUCGGAGAGAAGUUGUUAAGCAAGCUGCCUGGGAAGUACGGCCGCAAGACUGAAACU
rnacentral:rRNA from 1 species